UACGGAGGGUGCGAGCGUUGUCCGGAAUCACUGGGCGUAAAGGGCGCGUAGGCGGCCUGGUAAGUAGGGGGUGAAAUCCUGCGGCUUAACCGCAGGGCUGCCUUCUAAACUGUCAGGCUUGAGCACAGUAGAGGCAGGUGGAAUUCCCGGUGUAGCGGUGGAAUGCGUAGAGAUCGGGAAGAACAUCAGUGGCGAAGGCGGCCUGCUGGGCUGUUGCUGACGCUGAGGCGCGACAGCGUGGGGAGCAAACAGG
rnacentral:rRNA from 1 species